UGGGGCUGGGCAGUUGUCACCUCCUGUUUACCUUCAACAGCCUCCACCUUCCCCAUUGACUGAUCAUCACUAGGGUCACUUAGUGAGGUGCUUUCAUCUCCUCCAUCUUCACUCUGACCGAGAUCUACUGUCAUGUGGUUUGAAGAUGCGUCCUAAGCUGGCCAGCUUGCUGUUGCGGCGGAUGGGAGGCGUCCGAACCCCUGAAACCAAGCAACCUGAAUGCAGCGCCCUCUGCUGGUCCAUCAAAUCUACAACACAAAACAAACGGAGCUCCCUUAACAUAGGCUGCAGGCAACAAAAUCCAUCGUGAACACGGGUCUCCAUCAACGCUCAGAUGUGGUCUGUAUGAUGAAGAGGAGGUGGUGUGGCUCAUCCUACUUAGUGGGCGACACCUGAAGCUGCUCAUUUGUCCUCCUGCAAUCACAAUAUCACGAGAUCCCGCAAGAACCCAACCCUUUUUUGCUACGCCUGCCCAGAAUAUAUAAAGCAGAUAGUCUGAGACCGUGGGCCUCCCCUCAGACAAACCUUGGAAAAAGGCUAGUGGUCGAUCGAUAUGGGUUUUUCAAUGGCCAAUACAUAAUGCUGAUAUCUAAACAAAGAAAAGUAAUGUAUAAUUACAUCAUCCAUGCAGAGUGCAAUCUAAUAUACAUGGGUAUCUUAGCUAUAAACAUGGUGUUUUAGAUGGAAUUUUAAUUUAUUCACGAAAUAGAAAAAUAAAUUGGGUUAUGCUGUAGACUGUGACUGGUGUUUAAGGGAGAGUGGUGUAUAGUUUGUCAGAAGUGACGGUGUUUACCUGCAUUAUUCUCAGUAUAACAAUAUAUAUUUAAUACUAGGCAGUAAUGGGUUACAUUUGCUGUCAUUUAGGAUUAUAUACAGGUCUUGUGAGUGCAGGAAUCGGCUGAUGCCGAUAAUCACAAAAUGCCAGAUAUCGGCAUAAUAAUCGCUCAGCCGUUUAAUCGCUUGGCCGUUUAAUCGACCUAUCACUAAAGUCUGUCGGGCAGUUAUUAGUUUCUGACUCUGGGAAAGUGGGAAAAACAGUCAAAUUCCCCAAAACUACAAUAUCUUUGAACCAUCUCUUUCUCCAAAUUACACACAGUAAAGCUGUUCUAUGAUAUCUCCUUUUGAUAACUAAUGCAAUAUUUUCACUGAUCCUACCCUGAAACAGUUUGGAAACCCCUAGGGAGGCCCGUCUCCCACCUUGAAACCCUCUGCCGUAAGACAUAGCUCCUGCUGUGGAAAGGGUAUUGCCAUAUCUCUACCAGUGAACACAUUUCUACUGUUGUACGUAGGGUGACCAGACGUCCCGAAAAACCCAGGACAGUCCCGAAUUACGAGCAGUUGCCCCGACCCCUUUCCGGUUUGUCCCGAAAAUUAGACCUAACAUGAGUUUUGAUCAUAGCCUAAUUAAACGUAUAGGCCUACUUAUUGUUGUAUAGUUCUCUUGCUCCAGCAGGGGUUGCAGGUUAUCUGUACAUUGUGUCAACAGCGUUGUUUUAGCCACAAAGUAUUUUUUAAGUAUUUUUUAAGUUAAUUUUAACUGUGGUGUCACUGUUGUAUAUUUGUUUGGAGAAGUCGAAGACACAUUUCCACUAAGGUGGACAAUAAAGUCUAAUACAAUC